rnacentral:rRNA from 1 species
UACGUAGGGUGCGAGCGUUGUCCGGAAUUACUGGGCGUAAAGAGCUCGUAGGUGGUUUGUCGCGUUGUUCGUGAAAACCGGGGGCUUAACCCUCGGCGUGCGGGCGAUACGGGCAGACUUGAGUACUGCAGGGGAGACUGGAAUUCCUGGUGUAGCGGUGGAAUGCGCAGAUAUCGGGAGGAACACCGGUGGCGAAGGCGGUUCUCUGGGCCUUACCUGACGCUGAGGAGCGAAAGCGUGGGGAGCGAACAGG